rnacentral:rRNA from 1 species
UACAGAGGUGGCAAGCGUUGUUCGGAAUUACUGGGCGUAAAGGGCUCGUAGGCGGCCAACUAAGUCAAACGUGAAAUCCCUCGGCUUAACCGGGGAACUGCGCUUGAUACUGGAUGGCUUGAGAUUGGGAGAGGGAUGCGGAAUUCCAGGUGUAGCGGUGAAAUGCGUAGAUAUCGUGAGGAAGACCAGUGGCGAAGGCGGGUCUCUGGACAGUUCCUGACGCUGAGGCGCGAAGGCCAGGGGAGCAAACGGG